GACGAACGCUGGCGGCGUGCUUAACACAUGCAAGUCGAACGCAGUGGUGAACGGGUGAGUAACGCGUAAUCACCCUGCCCUUCAGAGGGGGACAACAGUUGGAAACGACUGCUAAUACCGCAUACUGAAGGAGGGGCUAGCGUCUGAUUAGCGAGUUGGAGGGGUAACGGCCCACCAAGGCGAUGAUCAGUAGCCAGUCUGAGAGGAGGAACGGGCACAUGGGGACUGAGACACGGCCCAGAGUCCUACGGGAGGCAGCAGUGGGGAAUUUUCCGAAAUGGACGAAAAUCUGUCGGAGCAACGCCGCGUGAGUGAAGACGGGCUUCGGGUUGUAAAGCUCUGUUAAUCGGGACGCGGUACCGGAAUAGAAAGCCACGGCUAACUACGUGCCAGCAGCCGCGGUAAUAC
rnacentral:rRNA from 1 species